UCGGGAAUUUUGGGCAAUGGGCGAAAGCCUGACCCAGCAACGCCGCGUGAAGGAUGAAGUAUUUCGGUAUGUAAACUUCGAAAGAAUAGGAAGAAUAAAUGACGGUACUAUUUAUAAGGUCCGGCUAACUACGUGCCAGCAGCCGCGGUAAUACGUAGGGACCAAGCGUUGUUCGGAUUUACUGGGCGUAAAGCGUGCGCAGGCGGUUGUGUAAGUCAGAUGUGAAAUCCCCGGGCUCAACCUGGGAAUUGCAUUUGAGACUGCACGGCUAGAGUGUGUCAGAGGGGGGUAGAAUUCCACGUGUAGCAGUGAAAUGCGUAGAUAUGUGGAGGAAUACCGAUGGCGAAGGCAGCCCCCUGGGAUAACACUGACGCUCAUGCACGAAAGCGUGGGGAGCAAACAGGAUUAGAUACCCGAGUAGUCCCUGAGCGGGCUGGCAAGGCGCAU
rnacentral:rRNA from 1 species